CCAGGCGCCCCCCCCCCUCCUCUCUCGCGCGCGCACACGAACAAAAUCAUCUCCAACACAGUGCACUCAUCUUGCAAACGCUACAUUCUUCUACCUCCGCUACUCACCCGAACAACGUCCUCUCUUUGAAUCAUGAGUUUAGGGAAGAAGAUCAGAAUAGGAUUUGACGGAUUUGGAAGAAUCAAUCGGUUUAUUACGAGAGCAGCUGGCCAAAGGAACGACUCGAAGCUUUCCAGUGGAAAUGAUGCACUUAAGGUAUCAAUUUUUAUAGUAUUGUUAUUUCAGUGCGGGCAGAGUUAAAUUGCAAGAGCAAUUUGUUGUGUAUAUGAUGAACCAGAAACACUGUUUGUACGAUUUGAUGCUUUGGGCCUUCUCAUGCUAUUUUGCUUAAAAUCAGAUAUAUAUGUGAUAUAUUAUCUGUACCAUUUUAUGUGACAAGAUUUGACUAGACAUGGAGUUAAAAAGUUAAUUUGACUUGUAUAUUGUAAUAGCGGUAGUGGAAGAGAAUAUUGUGUAAUAGUUGAAAAGUAGUUCUAUCACUAAAACAUCUUAUUAAAGUUUAAAAAUUGAAUAGUUAAAUGAAUUUGAAUGUUACUUCAUCAAAGAAGAAGAAAGAGAAUUUGAAUAAUUGAAAGUUGUGAAUAUAAAUGCCACGUUUCGUUUUAGUGGCGUUGGGAAAGGGAAAAGUGCUAAAGAAAAUUGAAAUGGAAGAAGCGCCAAAAUAGCUUCAACAUGAAGCAGGUUCAUAGGAGCUAUAGAAUUUGCUCCAAUCCCUUUUCAUCAAAAAAAGAAGAAAAAAAGAAUAAAAAAAAGAAGAAUUGGCUUCAAUCUUUCUAUCUGCCACCAUAUUAAUAUUUGCGAUAAGGCAAUUACACCUGAUUAAUGCUACAUACAGUACAACAUAUUGUUUGUUGCGAGUGAAAUUGUCAAUGUUUCUCGAUUGACAAGAACCAAAUAGUUCGUGCCAUAGAUAGGAGAGAAGUGCUUAUGUUGUUCUUUUCCAUGUUGUGACAACAUGAUACAUUUGUAGCUUAUAUCUUCGACCAUGCUUUUCUUACCUUGUAAAAUGACGUGUUAUUUCCUAUUUAGGAGGAUACUGAACAAUCCAACGAGUUUGUGUAGAGGAACUUCCUUCAGUCUGUUAGAAAUAGCUAUGUAAUUGUCCCACAUUGAAAUAGGAAUAGUAUCCCCUUUGUAUAGAGUAGCUAUAAAUAGCACCUCUUGUAUUGCAUCACAUACAAUAUCAAUAUAUCAUAUUUUCUCC